GAGGUUGUGGCUCAGCAGUAGAGUUCUCACCUGGUACGUGUAAGGUGCUGAGUUCAAUUCUCAGCACCACA
rnacentral:tRNA from 1 species